AUUGGAUGUUGCUUCUAUUCUGUUUGGAUGAAAGUGUCAUUUACGUGUUUGAUUCAUUGAGAAGGGAGCGGGAUAUUCGGUUGACAACACCUACACGAACGGCAUAUAAACUGUAUGUAGCACAAGGUGGCAGGAAGAAUAACCGAAAGGAAUUUCUUUGGUGUCAUGCAGAUGUUCAGUGUCCUCAACAACAAGGAGGUACAGAGUGCGGUUUAUUUGUUAUGAGGUACAUGCAUGAAAUAUUCCUGCUUUCUCAAAAAAAUCCUAAUACCAAUUGGAAAGAGGUAAGAGCAAAAUAUAUAGUUAAUGAUUCUUAUAGGAAUAUUGAACUCAUUAUUUUGUCUAAAUAUGUUAAUAUCAUCAUUUGCAUUUUCAAGGGCCUUGGUUCAAGAAGGUAUUUAAAGAAGGAACUCAAUGAGGUUCGGGAACUGUGGGCUGAGUUUUUUACAGUUGAAUGUCUAUAAUGAGAUAGUUGACAGACUUUAAUGGCCACUACAAGCUUUUUAGUGGUAAGGACGAGAGCGAAGACUGAGGCA